GAAGCCGGUAAAAGAACCCUAGAUCGACCAGUCAAAACAGAUCACGCCCUCCUCGUUCCUUCCACUCCCUCGACACCACCUCCUCCCCCGUCCGGUGGCGGCUCCUCCUCGCUCCCCCUUCCGGCAGCGCCUCCUCCUUCCUCCCCACGGUCUCUCGCAUCGCGCCGCCACCAGCUGGCUGCACCACAUCCUCAGCUAUCCAGCCCGCUUCCACAAUGGAUAAGGGAAGCACGGGCUGCUGCUCCGCUGCCGCUGCCACCGCCUCUUCCUCUACCUCAGCUCAACAUGAGGAUCUUGGGCCGCGGCUGCACUGCACGAGGGGGCGCCACCAAUAUGCCUUGUGUCUCUGCGAGCCAACGGAGCAACCAUGGAUUCACUGCGGCAUCGACACCCAUCUCAAGGACCUUAUUCCUUGCACUCUUGACUCUUUUGAGAAGGAGAAAUUUAUUGUUGGGAGGCAAAACGACUGAUGAUGAGUUCCUGAAACAUGUAGCAUGAGUGCGUCAACCGACAUCGGAGAAAUCAGGUUCAUAGAUGGCUGCUUUAUGCCGGGGUGAACGAGCUUCUGUUAGGCCGUCGAUUUCCCAAUGAAGGAGCUUCGAGGCAAGCACUGCAAUGAUGUAGUUUUGUAUAUGGCAUAACCUGUAGGAACCCUUUCCUUGUUUCUUUUUCUUCUUGGUUUCGCUCCUGUUGAUUAAUGCCAAUUAUUCUAGCUAUUUUCGUUGUACCUAGGUGCCUGUGAGAUAUUUACAGACAGAAUUCGUGCCGAUUUAUUCAGUUGUGGCACGUACCGCAGCUACAUCAGUUUGGUAAUUAGUCCUCAAAUAAGGUCGUUUUCCUCCCCCCUUUA